AUUGAACGCUGGCGGCAGGCUUAACACGUGCAAGUCGAGCGGAGAUGAGGUGCUUGCACCUUAUCUUAGCGGCGGACGGGUGAGUAAUGCUUAGGAAUCUGCCUAUUAGGGGGGGACAACAUUCCGAAAGGAAUGCUAAUACCGCAUACGUCCUACGGGAGAAAGCAGGGGAUCUUCGGACCUUGCGCUAAUAGAUGAGCCUAAGUCGGAUUAGCUAGUUGGUGGGGUAAAGGCCUACCAAGGCGACGAUCUGUAGCGGGUCUGAGAGGAUGAUCCGCCACACUGGGACUGAGACACGGCCCAGACUCCUACGGGAGGCAUCAGUGGGGAAUAGUGGACAAUGGGGGGAACCCUGAUCCAGCCAUGCCGCGUGUGUGAAGAAGGCCUUAUGGUUGUAAAGCACUUUAAGCGAGGAGGAGGCUACUGAGACUAAUACUCUUGGAUAGUGGACGUUACUCGCAGAAUAAGCACCGGCUAACUCUGUGCCAGCCGCCGCAGUAACAC
rnacentral:rRNA from 1 species